rnacentral:rRNA from 1 species
AUUGAACGCUGGCGGCAUGCUUUACACAUGCAAGUCGAACGGUAACAGGCCGCACGGUCCUGUUUAGUGGUGGACGGGGGAGUAAGGGAUAGGAACGGGUCCAGUCCUGGGGGAUAACUAAUAGCAAGGGUAACUAAUACCGCAUACGAUCUAUGGAUGAAAGCGGGGGACCGUAAAGGCUCGCGCGAUUGUAGCUGCCGAUGUCAGAUGAGGUAGUUGGUGGGGUAAAGGCUGACCAAGCCAACGAUCUGUAGCUGGUCUGAGAGGAUGACCAGCCACACUGGAACUGAGACACGGUCCAGACUCCUACGGGAGGCAGCAGUGGGGAAUUUUGGACAAUGGGCGCAAGCCUGAUCCAGCAAUGCCGCGUGCAGGAAGAAGGCCUUCGGGUUGUAAACUGCUUUUGUACGGAAAGAAAAGGCUCUGGUUAAUACCCGGGGCUAUUGACGGUACCGUAAGAAUAAGCACCGGCUAACUACGUG